rnacentral:rRNA from 1 species
CCCUUAGACGUUCUGGGCCGCACGCGCGCUACACUGACGGAGCCAGCGAGCUUUUCCUUAACCGAGAGGUUUGGGUAAUCUUGUGAAACUCCGUCGUGCUGGGGAUAGAGCAUUGUAAUUAUUGCUCUUCAACGAGGAAUUCCUAGUAAGCGCAAGUCAUCAGCUUGCGUUGAUUACGUCCCUGCCCUUUGUACACACCGCCCGUCGCUAGUACCGAUUGAAUGGCUUAGCGAGGCUUCAGGAUUUGCUUAGAUCGAGGGGCAACUCUCUUUCAGAGCGGAGAAUCUAGUCAAACUUGGUCAUUUAGAGGAACUAAAAGUCGUAACA